UGGGGAAUUUUGGACAAUGGGCGAAAGCCUGAUCCAGCAAUGCCGCGUGUGUGAAGAAGGCCUUCGGGUCGUAAAGCACUUUUGUCCGGAAAGAAAUCCUUGGCUCUAAUACAGUCGGGGGAUGACGGUACCGGAAGAAUAAGCACCGGCUAACUACGUGCCAGCAGCCGCGGUAAUACGUAGGGUGCAAGCGUUAAUCGGAAUUACUGGGCGUAAAGCGUGCGCAGGCGGUUUGCUAAGACCGAUGUGAAAUCCCCGGGCUCAACCUGGGAACUGCAUUGGUGACUGGCAGGCUAGAGUAUGGCAGAGGGGGGUAGAAUUCCACGUGUAGCAGUGAAAUGCGUAGAGAUGUGGAGGAAUACCGAUGGCGAAGGCAGCCCCCUGGGCCAAUACUGACGCUCAUGCACGAAAAGCGUGGGGAGCAAACAGGAUUAGAUACCCUGGUAGUCCACGCCCUAAACGAUGUCAACUAGUUGUUGGGGAUUCAUUUCCUUAGUAACGUAGCUAACGCGUGAAGUUGACCGCCUGGGGAGUACGGUCGCAAGAUUAAAACUUAAAGGAAUUGACGGGGUCAUAGCUGUUUCCU
rnacentral:rRNA from 1 species